UACGGAGGGUGCAAGCGUUAUCCGGAUUCACUGGGUUUAAAGGGUGCGUAGGUGGGUCUGUAAGUCAGUGGUGAAAUCUCCGGGCUUAACCCGGAAACUGCCAUUGAUACUAUAGGUCUUGAACUUUCUGGAGGUGAGCGGAAUAUGUCAUGUAGCGGUGAAAUGCUUAGAUAUGACAUAGAACACCAAUUGCGAAGGCAGCUCGCUACAGGAAUAUUGACACUGAGGCACGAAAGCGUGGGGAUCAAACAGG
rnacentral:rRNA from 1 species